rnacentral:rRNA from 1 species
CAUGGUUGUCGUCAGCUCGUGUCGUGAGAUGUUGGGUUAAGUCCCGCAACGAGCGCAACCCUUAUUGUUAGUUGCCAUCAUUCAGUUGGGCACUCUAGCAAGACUGCCGGUGACAAACCGGAGGAAGGUGGGGAUGACGUCAAAUCAUCAUGCCCCUUAUGACCUGGGCUACACACGUGCUACAAUGGGAAGUACAACGAGUUGCGAAGUCGCGAGGCUAAGCUAAUCUCUUAAAGCUUCUCUCAGUUCGGAUUGCAGGCUGCAACUCGCCUGCAUGAAGCCGGAAUCGCUAGUAAUCGCGGAUCAGCACGCCGCGGUGAAUACGUUCCCGGGCCUUGUACACACCGCCCGUCACACCACGAGAGUUUGUAACACCCGAAGUCGGUGAGGUAACCUUUUUGGAGCCAGCCGCCUAAGGUGGGAUAGAUGAUUGGGGUGAAGUCGUAACAAGGUAGCCGUAUCGGAAGGUGCGGCUGGAUCACCUCCUUUCUAAGGAA